ACUCCACUGGCUCCCUGCUGCAGAACCUUCUCAGAUGCUACCGUGGGAACUGCCCAGGUGCAGGGGCUCUCUCCAGCCCACCCCUUAGAGUUGCCUUGGGCCGGGAGCUGGAGGCCCGACCUUGGCCGUGAUCUCUGUACAGCUGCCUUUACGGAGAAAUGCACUCAAAGUUGCAAAGUGUCAGUCAGUGAGCUGCUCGAACAUAACCUGUGAGAUAAAGUGGCUUCACUCCAGGCAGCUGGUCUGAGAAGGGGACCCAAGAAGAAACGACGUGGGCCACUUCUGGGCUUGGUCAAAUCUCCCACGGGCGCCUCCAUGCUCUGGUCCUCUUACGGCCGGCUGGACUGAUGACGACCCUGGGCAACCUUGGAAAUGACCAGUGACCUGGUGAAGACCUGCAGAGCCUCUGCCAGUUCAAGUCCACGAAUGACUGUGCCGAGUGGGUGGCCCCCCAAACCUCUACACCUGCCCAGAAGUAUUUCUUGAGCAAAAAAUAAACUAGUGUGAUUACCCA